UUAAGCAGCAGCCACGGAUGGAACGGCAACGGCAUUCCGACGUCAUAUUGCGCGUUCACGACUUUAACUGCCACUUCUUGACGUUCUACGUAGCCAUCUACUACGGGAGAACAGCUGGUUUGCCGCAGUCUUUACAACGUCACAGAUUAGAAACAUAAGAAUCACGGACAACGGAACUUAUCGUCUAGAUAUCGCCCAUCCCAAUGACACUUCCGGUCUCACCAGCAGAGUGACAGAAACUGCAUUUAGUGUCAUUGUUUAUGCUCACCUACCCAUCCCUAUCAUAAGAAACACAAACUGUUCUUUAUCAUCAGAAGGUACAUUCAUGUCAAAAUAUGCGCUGCUGUGUUCAGUGGAGAAUGUGAAUGAUGUGACUCUCUCCUGGUACAAAGGAAACAGUUUAUUGUCCAGAAAAAGUGCAUCUAAACUAAAUACCAGUCUCUCUCUACCUCUGGAGGUGGACUAUCCUACACUACACCUACAGUACCUACAGGAUCUCCACUACCCUUCUAUCUUUUAGCACUGAUUCCAGUUUUUCUGGUAGUUGGAAUAAUUAUCUACUGGAUUUAUAGGAAACAAACACAAGGGGGAGGUUGUUGUAGUAGUAAACCCAAGUGUUGUAACAUAAAUUGGGGAUCCAGAAAUCCACUAGUUCCAUGCUGAGUAUAGCUUCUGUAUGGUUGCACAGCCACAGCUCAUAGGUUUUUAAUUUUCACUGUUCAAUUUUUGGAAAUUGGGAACAUGAAACAACCUUCACUGCACUCAACUUUUUAUAGCUGACAGUACCUGUCCAGACUAGAUAAAGUGCUGAUCCAGCACAACAGGAUCAUCAUCAUUAUAACUUCCUGAAACACCAAUCUGAUCACAUACUAUUCGGAAACCAG